GUUCCCUUGGUAUCAAACACAUUUGUAUUAUUUUUAUUAUUAGUCUUUUAUAAAACAAAACCUGAAGUUGGGAGGAAAAAUUACAGUUGCACUAAGUCCCCUACAUACGAACGUAUUCCAUUAGGAAAGUGCAUUUGUAAGUCCAAUUUGUUAGUCCAAUAAAGCUAACCUAGGUGUGUUACUAGCACAAUUGGCUAUAUAGUAUUGUACUAUAAUAGGUUUACAAUGCUUUUCACACAAAUAAUAUAGAAAAAAUAAAUGAAAGAGUAAAAUAACUAAAAUCUUGCAGUAUAGUGCCUUGAAAAGUAUAGUAGUACAACAAAUGCAGCAGCUGGCAUAUGGGACUGGCAUCCCGUGGACAGGAAAGGAGUUCCUGACAGAGAAGGGAGGGGAUGGGGCCAGGAAAGCCCAGGACCAUCAGCAAUGAGAGACGGGGGCAGGCUGCCGUGGCAGUCACGCCUGACGCUGAUGGCACACAUGUUCACAGCUUCGCAAGUCCGCAACCUGUUCAUAUUUAGGGGACUUACUGUAUUUUAUUAACUGUAAUUUUAUUCAUUAUAGUCAGAUGGUGAUAAAGUGACUCUAUUUUGUUAGAACUAAAUCUGAAUGAAUUCCACCUUUGCAAAUUGUGUCGUAGUUGAAAUUUUUGUUGUUUUUAAGCAAGUAUUCUUGGUUUGACACUCAUUGGACAAAUGAGGAAUGAUUCACCCCCUGAUUAUAAUUAGACGCACUGAAGUUCACAGCAAGCUUUCAGCAUUGAUUACUUCUUCCCUCGGAUAAGAUGUAAGAUGAUAUGGCUUGCCUAUCCCAGAAGAGAACAGACAUAAGAUAUUACAUUAGAGAAAUAAAAUCAUUGGUGUUGGGAAAGGCCCUGAAUAUUAGGAUCACCAAAUGGAUUUGGUAAAACUGCAAAACACAGAACUCCUUUGAUCUACUGCAGAAAAGGCUUUUUUAUGUUACAGGAUUCCAUUACUUGAAAUGAUCUUUCUCCUCUUCCAAUCAAGUGAGAGCCUGUAUGGAAAGCUGGUACCAUUGCAAAAUCUAAGGUCAUCAGAAAUAGAACAGUUAACUAGCAAACAUAUUAUUACUGUAUUGUAACAGUUAUAAAAGAAUGUAUUAUGUUCCAUAUUUUUAAGUCACUAAAAAUAAAUUAUUCAAGGUGCUCUAGUGCCCAUUUAAUGAUUAGUGACAGGUGUGACUAUCUGACCUCUAGUGGCAAUAGCUCAUUGCUGCAUCUCAGUUGAUGUGCUAAAACAAACAAAAAACUGACUGUAAAUGAAAUCUCAGCUCUUAAGAAUUGUACAAGUGUGUGACUAGCUUCCCUGAAUUUCUGCUGGUCUGACUGUGGGGGUGCUGCCGCAGAGAACUUUGUGGACCUCUCAGUUCAGGCACCUGAAAUGUGCCCACGGAUGCCACACCGAGGCCUAGUAGCCAGCUGUCCCCUGCAGCAUUUUUCACAGACAUUCUGAAGCUCACAGCAAGCUUCUAGCAUUGAUGCUCAGCAUUAUUUUAUAGGCUUGCGUGAAAUAUUUUUAGAGUAGGUAUCUAUUAAAUGUCUACAUUAAUGUGUGUUUCAUAAUGCAUAGAUAUUACAUGUUUGCGUGGAUGUUUCCUGCUUCAAAUUGAAGAGCAUUACCAUUCCUCAUAUACUGCAUCAUGAGUUAGAGGCUGCUGCUUUGUAAACAGGAAACAGAUUGGAACUGACCAACAAUUUGAAACUACUAAACCACUGUACUAAAUAGACUUACAUACUCCAUUUAGUUUGGUGCCCCAAACUGGAAAAGACUCGGAAAAUUUACAUUAUCUUCCCUGGUGGCUCAGACGGUAAAGAAUCUUCCUGCAGUGCAGGAGACCUGGGCUCGAUCCCUGGGUCAGGAAGAUCCCCUGGAGAAGGGAAUGGCAGCCCACUCCACCCACUCCAGCAUUCUUGCCUGGAGAAUUGCAUGGACAGAGCGCUUGGUGGCUUACAGUCCGUGGAGUCCCAAACGGUCAGACACGACUGAGCGUCUGAGCCUAAAGGGUCAAAAGCAUGAUUGGAGCGGGUUCAAGAAAAGGAAGAAGGGAAAUGAGGCAGCGGUAUUGGCUGUUCUUCUGAGGUGUUUUGUUACCAAGGCAGCCAACGGUGGAAGACGGAACGGAGCAGGAUGUGGAGACAGACAUUUCUUCUCUGAAGGUUGGGGUCAUCACUGCAUAGUGCCUGUGUGCUGAGGGGAACGGUCACUUGCAGAAGGAAGGCUUGAAAAUGCAGGAGAGAAGAGGGCACAGCUGCCCCAGAAUGGAAGGCGGGUGCCCACCCUGCGGGGUGGUCCACGGCGGGAAGGGUGUGGAUGCUGCAGUGAGCAGCUGACGGAGGGUCUCUUCUGACCCCUCUGUGGGUGAGUGAGGUGAAGGUGAAGGGGAGCAGGCUGGGUGUUUGCUGGGAGAGCAGAUGGGAGAGGGUGGUCUAGGAGAAUGGACAAGGAGUGCCAGGCCCUGCGGGGGUAACGGUUGCACCUGAAGUUCACAGUCAGGAGUUUAAGUUAUACCAGAAGAGAAGAGGGGUCUACGUGUGACCUUGGAGGUGCUGAGGCAGGCGGCAUAGGUGCACCUUCCGCAGAGUUGCACGGGCAGGACAUCUGUCAGAAAGCAUUCUGAAGCCUGAGAACAGGACCUUGCUAUAUGAAGCUUAGCUUUGAAUUACUUAGCACUUUUUCUUGGCAAAAAGCUUUUUAAAUUUCUUUAAGACAGCCUUAGUAUCUCCAGAGACAGCAUUUGUCUCCUGCCACUGACUUACUCAGUUACUAAGUCUAAGCAAAUGGUUUAACCCCUUUUUGCUUUUACCGCUCAAUCUAUAAAAUGACAGUGGCAAUGUUUCAAGUGCAACAAAUGCUUUAAAAAUAAAGUGCUACAUAAAUACAAGCUAUUAAUAAAAUGGUAUUUCAGCCCUCGUGGGUACGGUCACCAGAAAGUCAGAAAGGUCAGAGCAUCUGAACAAGCCUUGGGUGGCAGAAGCCUCGCUUGGAAGGCUUGGGCAGAGGAAGGCACAGCCAGGAACCUCGAAGGAGGUAUCAACCUCGUCCUUCCCUUUAGUUCUCACACCUGCCCUUGGAGUUUGUUGAAACCUGAGACUCACAGAGGUGAGCUAACCUGUAAAGCCAAGGGGUGGGACUUGGAUUUCAACCCCAAUGUACCUUAAAAUCCCAUGCU